GACGAACGCUGGCGGCGUGCUUAACACAUGCAAGUCGAACGGUAAGGCCCUUCGGGGUACACGAGUGGCGAACGGGUGAGUAACACGUGGGUGAUCUGCCCUGCACUUCGGGAUAAGCCUGGGAAACUGGGUCUAAUACCGGAUAGGACUCCUGCCUGCAUGGGUGGGGGUGGAAAGCUUUUGUGGUGUGGGAUGGGCCCGCGGCCUAUCAGCUUGUUGGUGGGGUGAUGGCCUACCAAGGCGACGACGGGUAGCCGGCCUGAGAGGGUGACCGGCCACACUGGGACUGAGAUACGGCCCAGACUCCUACGGGAGGCAGCAGUGGGGAAUAUUGCACAAUGGGCGCAGGCCUGAUGCAGCGACGCCGCGUGAGGGAUGACGGCCUUCGGGUUGUAAACCUCUUUCAGCACAGACGAAGCGCAAGUGACGGUAUGUGCAGAAGAAGGACCGGCCAACUACGUGCCAGCCGCCGCGGUAA
rnacentral:rRNA from 1 species